CGGGGAAAUUUGGACUGCCACUGGAAAAUGAGGGUAUAUUGGAUAGGGACAGAAAUUUUGCCUUGCAACAGGCCACCUACGGACCCCUCAAAGAGUUGAUGCAAGGGUUCUUAACAUCGCAAAGAGCGUGGCACUCUCCUUACACGAGACAUCGGAUUUAACGUCCCCAAUCUGACCGGACGUGACUGUGAACUUGAUACAUCCCGCACAGCCAAACGGACACCC
rnacentral:lncRNA from 1 species